UACGUAGGGUGCAAGCGUUGUCCGGAAUUAUUGGGCGUAAAGAGCUCGUAGGCGGUCUGUCGCGUCGGAAGUGAAAACCCGGGGCUCAACCCCGGGCCUGCUUUCGAUACGGGCAGACUAGAGUUCGGCAGGGGAGACUGGAAUUCCUGGUGUAGCGGUGAAAUGCGCAGAUAUCAGGAGGAACACCGGUGGCGAAGGCGGGUCUCUGGGCCGUAACUGACGCUGAGGAGCGAAAGCAUGGGGGAGCGAACAGG
rnacentral:rRNA from 1 species